CAACUCUAUUCAAUGGACCCAUUAUAAACUGUUGUUUAGUUUAAGGUAAUAGCCUAUUACGGGCCGAAUGGAAUCAGCCUCUAUUACUGGACAACUUGUAAUAGCAAUUCAGGGGUUGGGGGUCUGAAUUGAUAUUCAAAACCACCCGCAAUAACAUUUUUCCUUUUUUGGACCAAAAUAGCCUGCCUCUCUUCUUCAUCGUUUUCACUUUCACUUCAGAUUUCUUCCUCGACAUUUAUCCCCAAAGCGAACCCUAGAAAUUAGCUCCUUAAUCGAUGACAAAUCAAGCAUCCAUUCGCCAUCUUCAUCUUCAUCUUCCUUCUAGUUGAACCUCCUUAUUUACGGUGUUUGCAAUUGCAAGUUCUUUCUCGGGUGCAAACACAAAAAGAAACCACAACAGCAAAAUAGCAUGUAAUUGGAUAGAAAAACAUUUGGUCUCGCACUUGGUUUACACUUUUGUGUCAUGCUUCUUUACAUGGGGAAUUUGUAUAUAAUUUUUAAAAUAUUUGUUGCUUUAAGAGAACUUAAUAUAAAUGUUUUGACUCUGCAAAAUCUUAAUUUUAUGUCUUAGGAUGAACUUUUUUAAUUUCACUUGUCCCUCUGCUUGUUGUGUUUCCAUAUAAAAAAAAAGUUUUGGUUGAUUAAUCUGGCAAAAGAGGAUCAUAGACUUUGCAAGAGCCUCCAAGCUUCCAAUGUACCCUUUUUCCAACGAUUGUUGUAGCGUACUUUAGUGCAAAAUCUUCUGUAUUGGACUUCUAAGAGAAAAAAGAUAAGGUUAAUUUUUUGUCAUCACACCCGUUUGGGGCUUGUUUGGUUUUAUGUGAAUACAUUUGAUGCAUUUAUUCUGGUAUUUGAGGUGGUAUGUUUGGCAACGAGCUCUUACCAAUUGGAGCCUUUUUAUAUAUUGUGUUCUCUUCCGCUUUGUCUCUUCUACUAGUCUUAGCUUUCUCUAGUUCUGUAACUUGAAUAGAAUAAUGACAUGAUAGAAUGUCAUUACAAUGAUGUAACUUUUUGAUGUUGUAAUAUUUUAUAACAUAUGGAUUAUGACAUAUAAACCAAUGAAAUCAUGUAAUUUUUGUUAAUAUAUGAAUAUUAUGUUUGGAUGUGAAAUAUAAUUCUCAAGUUAUUUAUUACUUCUAA